rnacentral:rRNA from 1 species
ACGUAGGGUGCGAGCGUUAAUCGGAAUUACUGGGCGUAAAGUGUGCGCAGGCGGCCGAGCAAGUCGAGUGUGAAAGCCCCGGGCUUAACUUGGGAAUUGCGCUCGAAACUAUGGAGCUGGAGUGUGGCAGAGGAAGGUGGAAUUCCACGUGUAGCGGUGAAAUGCGUAGAGAUGCGGAGGAACACCGAUGGCGAAGGCAGCCCCCUGGGCCAACACUGACGCUCAGGCACGAAAGCGUGGGGAGCAAACAGGA